AGUGAUGAUAGAGGUGCGGCCGUCAAGAGUAGCCAUUCGGAGAUUUGCAGAAUCGAUGAAGAAUGGAGAAAGGGACGCCCGCCGAAGUGUGCUGAAGUUUGCAACUCGCAUGCUGGUCCUGCAUUUAAUAAGUGCUGGGCUGUCAGAGUUUAUCUCUGGAGGGCUAUCUCACAU
rfam:Planomicrobium sp. ES2 genome assembly, contig: CONTIG000001